rnacentral:rRNA from 1 species
GACUCAGCCUGGUCUCGCGAAUGCGCACUAGGACUUAAUUUGAUCCUGGCUCAGGACCGAAGCGNUUAAGCGUGCCUAAUACAUGCAAGUCGAGCGAACAGAGAAGGAGCUUGCUCCUUUGACGUUAGCGGCGGACGGGUGAGUAACACGUGGGCAACCUACCUUAUAGUUUGGGAUAACUCCGGGAAACCGGGGCUAAUACCGAAUAAUCUAUUUUACUUCAUGGUGAAAUACUGAAAGACGGUUUCGGCUGUCGCUAUAAGAUGGGCCCGCGGCGCAUCAGCUAGUUGGUGAGGUAACGGCUCACCAAGGCGACGAUGCGUAGCCGACCUGAGAGGGUGAUCGGCCACACUGGGACUGAGAACAACGGGCCCAGANUCCCUACCGGGAAAGCAAGCCAGUAAGGGAAAUCUUUUCCCAACCCAAA